AGCAGCCGCGGUAAUUCCAGCUCCAAUAGCGUAUAUUAAAGUUGUUGCAGUUAGAAAGCUCGUAGUUGAAUUUCGGGAUCAAUACGUCGGUCGUGCUUCGGUACGUACUGGCGUAAUUGAUUUCUCCCUUCUGACGAACCAUGAUGUCAUUAACUUGGUGUCAUGGGAAAUCAGGACUGUUACUUUGAAAAAAUUAGAGUGUUUAAAGCAAGCUAACGCUUGAAUACAUUAGCAUGGAAUAAUGAAAUAGGACGUUCGAUCCUAUUUUGUUGGUUUCUAGGAUUGACGUAAUGAUUAAUAGGGAUAGUUGGGGGCAUUAGUAUUCAAUUGUCAGAGGUGAAAUUCUUGGAUUUAUUGAAGGCUAACUACUGCGAAAGCAUUUGCCAAGGAUGUUUUCAUUAAUCAAAGAACGAAAGUUAGGGGAUCGAAGACGAUCAGAUACCGUCGUAG
rnacentral:rRNA from 1 species